CAGUAGCCGCGGUAAUACGAGGGGGGCAAGCGUUGUUCGGAAUUAUUGGGCGUAAAGGGAGCGUAGGCGGUUUUGUAAGUCGUGUGUGAAAUCUUCGGGCUCAACCCGAAGUCUGCACACGAAACUGCAGGGCUUGAGUAUGGGAGAGGUGAGUGGAAUUCCUGGUGUAGCGGUGAAAUGCGUAGAUAUCAGGAGGAACACCUGUGGCGAAAGCGGCUCACUGGACCAUUACUGACGCUGAGGCUCGAAAGCUAGGGGAGCAAACAGGAUUAGAUACCCCCGUAGUCCCUGUCUCUUAUAC
rnacentral:rRNA from 1 species